UUAACUGAAUCCAUAGGUUAAUGAGGCGAACCGGGGGAACUGAAACAUCUAAGUACCCCGAGGAAAAGAAAUCAACCGAGAUUCCCCCAGUAGCGGCGAGCGAACGGGGAGGAGCCCAGAGCCUGAAUCAGCAUGUGUGUUAGUGGAAGCGUCUGGAAAGGCGCGCGAUACAGGGUGACAGCCCCGUACACAAAAGCGCAUGUGCUGUGAGCUCGAUGAGUAGGGCGGGACACGUGGUAUCCUGUCUGAAUAUGGGGGGACCAUCCUCCAAGGCUAAAUACUCCUGACUGACCGAUAGUGAACCAGUACCGUGAGGGAAAGGCGAAAAGAACCCCGGCGAGGGGAGUGAAAAAGAACCUGAAACCGUGUACGUACAAGCAGUGGGAGCACCCUUUGGGUGUGACUGCGUACCUUUUGUAUAAUG
rnacentral:rRNA from 1 species